CACGUAGGGCGCGAGCGUUGUCCGGAAUCAUUGGGCGUAAAGCGCACGUAGGCGGCCCGAUAAGUCGGAUGUGAAAUCCCUCGGCUCAACCGAGGACGUGCAUUCGAAACUGUCGGGCUCGAGUAUGGAAGAGGGUCGCGGAAUUCCCGGUGUAGAGGUGAAAUGCGCAGAUAUCAGGAGGAACACCGGUGGCGAAGGCGGGUCUCUGGGCAGUAACUGACGCUGAGGAGCGAAAGCGUGGGGAGCAAACAGG
rnacentral:rRNA from 1 species